rnacentral:rRNA from 1 species
UACGUAGGGUGCAAGCGUUAAUCGGAAUUACUGGGCGUAAAGCGUGCGCAGGCGGUUUUGCAAGACAGGUGUGAAAUCCCCGGGCUUAACCUGGGAACUGCACCUGUGACUGCACAGCUGGAGUGCGGCAGAGGGGGAUGGAAUUCCGCGUGUAGCAGUGAAAUGCGUAGAUAUGCGGAGGAACACCGAUGGCGAAGGCAAUCCCCUGGGCCUGCACUGACGCUCAUGCACGAAAGCGUGGGGAGCAAACAGG